rnacentral:misc_RNA from 1 species
GCUGGUUAUCUCGUUCUAAGUAGACGACUUUUAUUGGUCCCCUUUAAGUGCAGAAGAAAUCCAAUAUGAGGCUGCUACAUGAAUGUCUGGCUCCAUAUUUGGAGAAAGCAAUAGAGGAGUUACGGCAACAAAUCCAUUUUCAAGUGCUCUGAAAUCCAGAUCCUCAUCAGUAUCUUCAUGCUCCUUGUCAAGAAACUCUAGACGAAAAUACUUUUUCACACGAUUAGUAUCAGAUUUUCCUGAAGCCCCAACUGAUUCAAUUUCAACAUUCUUCCUUUGUGUGGUCAGACGGCGAGCUAAACCAGCAGCAGAAGCAUCUCGACUAAGCUGUGCAAGUUGGAUGCCAAGACUUUGUUGGUUUGACAUGAAAUGUCCAGUAGAAGGAUGCCGGUUGGCUGAAACAGCUAGCCAGCUAGGUGAGGAUCUCCACAUACUUUGCUUAGUCAGUUUGAAACCCCUAUUUGUAGAUGGAGAUGAUGGGAUUUCUAUAUGCAGAGAGCAGCUCUUUGGGAAACUCCCUUUCUCAAUAUCUCUGACAGCAGCAUUGAUCAAUGGCCGACAUACAGCUGCUGCAUCCUUAAAAUCACUUUCCUUGCUUUCAUUCUUCUUCCAGUUUAGUGAUAUUGAUAGAGAUGGAACACCAGAAAUUAAUGCCUCUCUAGCUCCAGCAACAACACCCGAGUAAAACAUGUGAUUACCACAGCUUGAUCCCUGGUUAAUUCCACUAACCACCAGCACAGGCUUUGACCAAGAAAACAGUGCUCCAGACAGUGCUAAUGAGACACAAUCCACUGGAGUCCCAGAAACUUCAUAAGCUGUGGCACCCUUAAUAUCAGCAGAAGUUACAGCAACUGUUUCUUGCAGAGUAACGGAAUGACCAGAUACUGAUUUGUCCGAUUGCGGGGCGCAGACAUGGACAUUGUAUAGGCCUUCAUGGACGAGAGCUUGAACAAGAUAAACAAGACCAGGAGACUCAAUCCCAUCUCCAUUAGUAACCAAAACAAUAGGCUUUGAAUUUUCUUCAGUCUCGGAAGUAUUUUCAACAGAAGUACAAGUAGAGCGUUCAGGUGAUUUAUCAUUACUAUCAUUUGAUUGGCCCUCUUCUUCACCCUUUCUGCUUAACAAGACUUCCUGAAGAUUCGAAACCAACCCAGGAGGCAGGAAGUUGUUCUUCACAGAAGUCAUUCUAAAAACUGAAAAGAUUUCAAGAAAUGCAGAGAGAAAGCGAGGUGGGUAGGCCUGUACAAAAGAAUCAAAACCCUAGAGAGAGAAAGGGAGGAGCGAGAGGAUAGAAGAGAGAAAAAGUAGGGUAAUAAAGAGCUGGAAAUGAAAAAGUGUAAUAGAUGGAUAGACCGGGUCUAACGGGGUUACUUGAUAGAGAGAGAAAGCAAGUUCUGGAGAGAGACAGAAGAAGAGAAUGGUCGUU